UGGGAAUCUUGGACAAUGGGGGAAACCCUGAUCCAGCCAUGCCGCGUGCGUGAUGAAGGCCUUCGGGUUGUAAAACUCUUUCGACGGGGACGAUAAUGACGGUACCCGUAGAAGAAGCUCCGGCUAACUUCGUGCCAGCAGCCGCGGUAAUACGAAGGGGGCUAGCGUUGUUCGGAAUUACUGGGCGUAAAGCGCGCGCAGGCGGCUAUCCAAGUCAGUGGUGAAAGCCCGGAGCUCAACUCCGGAACUGCCAUUGAAACUGUUUAGCUUGAGGCUGAGAGAGGUGAGUGGAAUUCCCAGUGUAGAGGUGAAAUGCGUAGAUAUUGGGCAGAACACCGGUGGCGAAGGCGGCGCACUGGCUCAUUACUGACGCUCAGGCGCGAUAGCGGGGGGAUCAAACA
rnacentral:rRNA from 1 species